AUACUACUUUACCUACUGGGGAAAAGGAACAAUGGUGACUGUCACAUCAGCCACUUCAACUAGACCAACUGUGUUUCCUCUGAUGGCAUGUGGUUCUGGGGCUGGAGACAUGAUCACUCUUGGCUGCCUUGCCACCCGCUUCACACCCUCCUCACUGACUUUCGCAUGGACCAAAGCUGGGACUGCCUUGACGGAGUUCAUUCAGUACCCUUCAGUACAGAAAGACAACCUCUAUACGGGAGUCAGUCAAAUCCAAGUGAGGAGACAGGACUGGGAUGCAACGGAGACUGUGCAGUGUGCUGUGACACAUGUUGCGGGAAAUGCAGGUCCAGUUGUCUUCCCAAAGCCACCACAUCCAGACACUGGUUGAGUGGGACAGUGAUACGGAAGGAAAAGAAGGAAACAUGGGAAGCACAGCCCUCACCUUCAUCUUUCUCUUCCUCAUCAUCCUCAUCAACAGCCCUUGUUCAUCUCAACAUGUAAAUUUGAUGAUUUUAUAGUCCGUUUGUUUUUAAGUCUGUUAUCAAUAAACUUGAAAACUAAAACCUUUUGCAAAGUCA